GCUCGCUCGGCCGCCCAGCUCCCACCUGCGCCUCUCCGCGGCCCCUCUCCACCGGCCGCUGGGCCCGGAUCCCUUCGGCGCCCCUCUGCACCCACCCCCACGCGCCCUCCACUCGGCUCAGAUCUACCUCCGCGCCUCUCCGCGACCCCGGAACCCCGCGCCCUGUCCGGCCCAUUCCCAGCCGGAUAGACCGCGCUCCCCUCUGUCCGACCUUGGCAACUCCUGCGCGCCCCCUCCCCACCUCUAGUCGCCCCUCGGAGCCGCUUGGUUUCGGGAUCCACCCGCAUCCACCCCUCCAACAACCCUUUCGUAGCCCUCGCCCCUAGUCCAUAGCAGGCGCUGCCCUACCCAGUCCUUGCCGGACACACCGCGACCCCUUUCGUGCUCCCUUGACAACCCUGGCCCCACCUCCACCUGGCGCCCACUCGAAUCCGCCCCUCCCUUCUACCCCCCUGGACCGCCAGACCCCCCGCUUCUGCACCCACUCCCGCCUUCGCCCUUCCCUCCUUCCUCCUCCUCCUCUGCUGCCGAGCGCCCUCUCUUCCCACUCCCUCUCUGUGUAGAAUCACAGGGAGUGACCUUGAGCCGAGAGGGCCUACCUCAUUUUACAGGAGAGGAAAUCCAGCUUCCAUUGAGUGAGACUCUUUUAUAAAUAACGUAAAAGAGUGUGUGAAACUGUGGAGGCAGGCUGUUGUAGAUAGGCGGUCGGAAAAGCUUUGAAGAGAUGGCAUGUGUGCUGAGUGCUUAAUUAGAAUAUGGAAGAGAGAGACAUGGGCCCUUCCUAUGUCCAGUUUUAGGAAAAGGCCCUAAAACUGGAGGUUUGGCAUGUUUCAAGAAUGGAAACAGAGGACAAAAACGUUCGAGUCCCCUCCCUGAGAUGCCUGAGGCUCGGACCCCACCAGGGAUGAAGGCUGCCGCCAGCGUGUGUUGCAGUUCCUGCGCCGCACAGAAGGGGGCGCCAUUCCUGCAUUAUUUCUCCCGACCUAACUCCGGUAACGCAGCUCCUAGUUGUAGGGCCUAUCUUAUAUUCGUUUUACAGUGUUUAUUUUUUUUCUUUUUUCUUUUCUUCUUUUCUUUUCUUUUUUUUUUUUUGAGACGGAGUCUCUGUCACGCAGGCUGUAGUGCAGUGGCGCGAUGUCGGCUCACUGCCUUAGCCUCCCAAGUAGCUGGGAUAACAGGUGCAGGCCACCACACCUGGCUAAUUAUUGUGUUUUUAGUAGGGACGGGGUUUCAACAUGUUGGCCAGGCUGGUCUCGAACUCCUGACCUCAAGUGAUCCACUCACCACCACCUCCCAAAGUGCUGGGAUUACAGGCGUGAGCCAUCGCUCCUGGCACAUUUCACAGUUUCGAGAGCACUGUCUCAUUUCACCCUUUAGACCAACCACGCAAUGAUUAAGGGCAGGCUCUAUUAUCCCUGUUCUACAGACAGAAAACAGAGACAGCCAGCUUAAGCGACAGUGUCAGACAAUUCGGUAAUUCGUUUGGUUCCUGACCAGUGCUUUUCCCACUCUGCUGUCCAGCAUAAAACAGGGUUGUCAAGGACAACUGGGAAAUGAACACAGACCCCAGAACUCCCUGACAAAAGGAGAGAAGACAGACUCCCUUAUCCAUGCCACACGAUAGAUGGCCUUGGGUACACUGCUUCUCUCGGGAGGUUUAGAAAUCAAAUUGAGUCUGCUCCUAGGUUCCAAACACAAUUAAAUUUAGCUUUGUUGGGUCAUUCUGUGGUCAGGCUGUAAGUUCAGCUUGGUCAAGGGGAAGGAAGGGAAUAAGCAGAAGCUGUGGGUUGGGCACCUGUCCUUUUGCCUACUCAGUGCCGCUCUUCUUGUGGACAUAAAGACACCCAUGUAACCCCUCAUGGCUACAAGCUGGGAAAACUCUAAAAUGAUUGCUCUUUCAAAAUUUUUUAACUGACAAAUAAAAAUUGUAUAUAUUUAUGGUGUCCCACAUGAUAUUUGAUAUACGUCCACAUUGUGGAAUGGCAAAAUCAAUCUAAUUAACAUAUACAUUACCUCACAUUUCUUUUUGUGUGUGGUGAGAACACUUAAAAUCCACUCUCUUAGCAAUUUUCUAGUAUACAAUACAUUGUUACUAACUACAGUCUCCAUGGAUCUCUUGAACUUCUUCCUCCUGUGACAUGAGCCACCAUGCCUGGCCUCCU
rnacentral:lncRNA from 1 species